GGCAUGCGUGUGUUUGUGCUCUGGGCUCUCCCACUUUCUAGCUAUCUGGCCAUGAGCCAGUUUCUUCAACACUCUAAGCUUUAGCUUCCCCAUUUGUGAGACAGACACAAAACCUAUGUCAGAGUGGCAGCAAGUAUGUGGCUCAUAGAGAACUGACCGUGGAGCUGGCACUUAGUCAGCCCUCAAUUACUGUCACUUAUCAUCAUUUAUUAUCAUUAUUUUUGUUCCUGCUCCUGCUACGACGAUUUUACGAGCCUCCAUCUAGGAAGAGUCGCCAUGUUUUGAAAAGCAAGUGCCGAGGUUGACGGGUAUCCCAAGAAGGGCAGUGAUUCCAAUGAUAAGAAUUUGAAGAUUUGAAGGAAACGUUGGCACGGGAAGGACUGGUUGGAGGAGGAAAUGAAGCAAGAAGAUUGAUCAAUGGCUGAAAACAGAGGCAAAGGGCCAGUAAGAGCAGAACCAAGACGCGGCCCCUCCACAAGCCUGACUUACAACAGAAGACCCGGGCUCCAAGGAGCACCAAUGAGCUGCGUGAGCUGCCUGCCCUUAUCGACCAGUCAGGACGAAGCCCUUCUGACCAAUCAGAGUGAAGCGUCUUUUAUUCCCCUUUCCUUAUUAGCAUAUUGGACCGAGUGGGAAC